CUGGGUGUUGCAAAAGGUUAAUGUACUCAGCUGCUAACUGAAAGGCUGUAGGUUCAAAUUCACCCAGA
rnacentral:tRNA from 1 species